GAAGUGGAUGGCCGUGUUGAUGAGAGAGAGGUUCUAAGCAUGUUUGUUGAUGACGAGGAGGCCUCUGUUUCUCUCUCCAUAUCACCUAUUAUUGCUCAUGAGGGUAUGGUGAGUGUAGAGAGGGUAGGAGAAUUGGGAAGUUUGGAAUGGGAAGUUCUGCUGAAUGCAAACAACUUGGACUCAAAUCUGGACCGUGACCAGGACAAUAAUGCUGAGCCUUAUUUUGGGGAUCAUGAUGAUUAUAUUUACACUGCAGAGUAUGAGAUGUUGUUUGGGCAUUUUGCAGAGAAUGAAAAUGUAUUGAUGGGUCGACCUCCAGCAGCAAAAUCUGUUGUUGAGAAGCUUCCAUCUGUGGUUUUGACAAAAGAGGAUGUUGAUGAUAAUAAUGCACUUUGUGCUGUUUGUAAAGAUGAUAUUAAUGUUGGAGAGAGAGCAAAGCAUUUGCCUUGUACACACCGGUACCAUGGGGAGUGCAUUGUGCCAUGGUUAAGGAUAAGGAAUACUUGCCCAGUAUGUCGAUAUGAGUUGCCUACGGAUGAUGCAGAUUAUGAGCGGAGGAAAGCAGUACAAAGAGCUGUUAGUGCCAGCCGUGCCCAUUGAUGGGUAUUACAUUUUGGUCCUGUAUGCUUUUUGACUCAGUUUUUUUUUUUUUUUUUUUUUUUUAAUGGUUUUGUUUAGGUUUUUUAAGAAUGUAAAUAUUUCUGUUGGAGUGCAUUGGUUUCCC
rnacentral:misc_RNA from 1 species